GGGUGAGGAAGGGUCCGGGGCUCUGGGGUGGCAGCAGUGCUUCCCCAGCUGCGCUGCUCGGAGAGGGAGCUCCUUCCCCGAGCUCUCGUGAGCGAAGAGCCAGAGCUAAUGCCAGAUGGAGCUGGAGCCAACUGAUCCUCCAGUCCCAACACCAUCACCAGUGGCUAAUGAAGAAACCACCCUUUGACUUUUCCCAGGACAAUGCCUGGAAAAGCAGUGUUUCUGUCUGUGGCCAGAGAGCUGCUGCCACACUGAGGGACGGCUUUGUGCUCCUGCCAUCCUGCCUGGCUGCAAGGACUGACAGUGGCUGCAGAAGUUAUUUGCUUUGCAUCUUGCAAAGGCCUCUUUGAAGACCCGAACAAAUAUUUGUACAGUGCUGUUCCUUGAGCACCACGGCACUGCUCUAAUUCCAUGGAAUCUGUGCCAUGGAGCCCCUGCAGUGACAACCCCAGGGCCCCCCUGGCUCUGCCUCCUUCUGCCUUUGCACCACAGCCUCGGGGCCAAGUGCUUCCAGGGCUCUGUCCCAAAUCAUCCACAGCAGGAAGGAUUUGAGGAAGGUUCAGCAGAGCAGCUGAGUGCAAACCUCUGACCAGAGGCCUCGUGGGUGUCAGCAGCAUUGGGCAGAGCUUUCCUGGAAAGGUCAGGUCCAGAUGAAGAUUUAAUAUAUUUAUUUCACUGGCCGAAGCAAAUGCCUCUCAAAUACUAAUUAAAUGUAUGUCACUCAGCUAGGGCUGUUGCUGGGGUUAUUUUUCUUGCUCCAGUGACAAAUAUGGCCAAUUAAUUCAACAGUAUCUCUUUUCUUGCAUUCAUUUUCUCCCUCCAUCACAUGCUUGAAGGAGAGCAAAAUCAAACUGACAGCUGAUAGGGUUUUCAAAUCCAAUGGGCAAAGUGCUUGGAGCCUCUUCCUUUGGACUGCAGGGCUCUGCUGGGGCCCCCCUUCCUUCUGUGAAUCAAAUCUCCAUAUCAAGCCUUGUUUUAGCCUGUCUCCAGUCUCCCUGUUUGAUUUCUAUUUACUGACCUUGCACGUGGCUCCCUGCUGGCCUGUGCUGUCCCCUGGCAGGAGCUGCACUCCCAGCCCUGCAAGAGGAGAGCUGAGAGACCUGGCCCUGGAAUCACUUAUUUUAUCCCUGGUUCUGAUGGGGCCAGGGCUUCCUGCAGCCCCAAAUAUGAAUUUUAACAAGGCUGAGCCCUUAGGGGUUAUUUUUGCCAUAUGCCCAAAGGGAGUGAAUGAUUUCCUUUGGGAAAUCCAACAUAUUGAGGGGUUAGAAUGGGAAAGAGGCUGAGCUCUGUGCUCAGGGUGGUCUGGGCUGAGGCACAGCUCCUCUCCUUAUCUGUGUAAAUGUUGUGCUGAUGAAUGAGGCCAGAGCUACAUAUCAAAAUCAAUCAGGAUUCCAGUUAAUUACAGCAGUCAGGACCAGGUCAGUUUUUUCUCCUCUUUGCUCCAGCCUUGUGGCAGAAGGGCACAGAGGUCAGAAAAAAAUCCACUCAGAUCUCCAUCCUUGAACUGCUACAGUAGUUCACACUUAGUCAAUAAACAAGAGUAAUAAGGAGAUGCUUUGUGGAAUGGGUAAAGAGGGAGCCUUGGAUGUGGCCAGGUCUCCAAGCACCUCAGCUCCCUGCCUGUAAAGUGGAGCUUCCCCUGCUUUGGUGUCGUUGGAUUUUUCUCUGUUCCUUCUGCCAGACUCUUGGGAGCAUUCACAGCCCCUGAUUUCUGGGACAGAAUGAGAUGCAUGUCGCAGCCUUUGGAGAGCAGAGGUUUCUGGCCCCAUGGGCAGGCGUGUUCUGUCCUUUAUCUCCAUCUGAGAUGGAUUUUGGAGAUCAAGGCUAAGGCUCUCUGCUGCUCUGAUGCUAUUGAUGUCAAUCACAUCGUGACGCAGGGAAAUUGACUCUCUCCUUUUAAUUACAGUCAACAUUAAACCUGAGUCCUCAAGGUUCAGGUUCUUACCUUUGGCCUGCCCAGGACCUAUAGAUCACUCAAAUCUCAUGUCAGCUCUCUCAGUAGUUUUUAUUUGCUGUUGUCCAGGUUUAGUGCUGGUUCUCUGCAAAUGUCUCCAGUGGACAGGCUGCAUGCACACGGGGUAACCAGCCACCCUAAUUGCUCCUGGUGAUCUGUAAAUUAAAUAAGGUGACAAUUAAAUUCACCUUGGUGUUCUGGUGGCGGAGUCAAUGGCUGCCAGUGCUGGAUCACCAGCUGCUCCCCUCUGGGUCACAGUCUGGUGACUCUCCCAGCAAUAAACUCAACCAUGUUUGUGCAGGAAAAGCCUGCAAUAAAACGUGCAAGAAACUGCAAAGAACUGCCUGAUA